rnacentral:rRNA from 1 species
AACGAACGCUGGCGGCGUGCUUAACACAUGCAAGUCGAACGGUAAGGCCCUUCGGGGUACACGAGUGGCGAACGGGUGAGUAACACGUGGGUGAUCUGCCCUGCACUUCGGGAUAAGCCUGGGAAACUGGGUCUAAUACCGGAUAGGACCACUGCCUGCAUGGGUGGAGGUGGAAAGCUUUUGCGGUGUGGGAUGGGCCCACGGCCUAUCAGCUUGUUGGUGGGGUGAUGGCCUACCAAGGCGACGACGGGUAGCCGGCCUGGGAGGGUGACCGGCCACACUGGGACUGAGAUACGGCCCAGACUCCUACGGGAGGCAGCAGUGGGGAAUAUUGCACAAUGGGCGCAAGCCUGAUGCAGCGACGCCGCGUGAGGGAUGACGGCCUUCGGGUUGUAAACCUCUUUCAGCACCGACGAAGCGCAAGUGACGGUAGGUGCAGAAGAAGGACCGGCCAACUACGUGCCAGCCGCCGCGGUAA